rnacentral:rRNA from 1 species
AGUGAACGCUGGCGGUAGGGCUAACACAUGCAAGUCGAACGGCAGCACAGUAAGAGCUUGCUCUUACGGGUGGCGAGUGGCGGACGGGUGAGGAAUACAUCGGAAUCUACUUUUUCGUGGGGAUAACGUAGGGAAACUUACGCUAAUACCGCAUACGACCUACGGGUGAAAGCAGGGGAUCUUCGGACCUUGCGCGAUUGAAUGAGCCGAUGUCGGAUUAGCUAGUUGGCGGGGUAAAGGCCCACCAAGGCGACGAUCCGUAGCUGGUCUGAGAGGAUGAUCAGCCACACUGGAACUGAGACACGGUCCAGACUCCUACGGGAGGCAGCAGUGGGGAAUAUUGGACAAUGGGCGCAAGCCUGAUCCAGCCAUACCGCGUGGGUGAAGAAGGCCUUCGGGUUGUAAAGCCCUUUUGUUGGGAAAGAAAAGCAGCAGGUUAAUACCCCGCUGUUCUGACGGUACCCAAAGAAUAAGCACCGGCUAACUUCGUG